AUGUUCCCAAGGAAAGGAAAAAUACAAUCAGUCACACAGCAGUUGAUGUUGGAAGGUACCUCUGGAAAUCAUCCAGUCCAACCACCCUGCUCAAAGCAGGAUCAACCAGAGCAGGUUGCCCAGGACUGUGCCUGGUCAGGCUUUGAGCAUCUUCCAGGAUGGAGACUCCACAACCUGUCCAGGCAGCCUGUGCCAGUGUUCCUCCACCCUCACGAUUCACUUCCAACCAUCUUGAUUAGCAGUUCUUACCCAUACUGCGGUUAUGGGAAUGUUUUUGGAUUAACAGCUCCAUCAAGGCAUCUGACUACUGCCUUCAUUACUGAUUUUAGCACUCAGAGCAGAAGAAAUUAUGGCUGA
rnacentral:lncRNA from 1 species